rnacentral:sRNA from 1 species
ACCAAGGUGCGACUCGAGCGCCAGCGAGAAAGCGUUGCCGCAGGCAACGACCCGAAGGGUGAAGCGCGCAGCGCUGAGUAAUCCUUCCCCCACCACCA